CCCGCCUGGCCUGGGAUCGCCUAUGCGCAGCUCCCUCAGAGCUCAGGGACCAUGUGGGGGUUGUAAUUGGUCUCUAGGCCACACCUAGUUGUCGAGUGCUGCUGCUGCCUGAACAUCUCCCAGCCCUACCCAGAUUGCCGGAGCGCGCAGGCCGACCUUCGGACACCAGACCAGAGAGGAACUACGGAGCCCCGGUGGUGGAGGAUUUUGUAAACUUUGCCAACGCAGGGCAAUGCCGGCCUCGUCCACCGUCCACGUGCUGCAACUGCUGCGGGAGCUGCUCGCCUUCGUGCUACUCAGUUACACUGUGCUCAUCGGGGCGCUGUUGCUGGCGGGCUGGACCACCUAUUUCCUGGUGCUGAAGUGACAGCGCCAACGCGCGCUCCCCGCCCCCACCCCCAGCGGGGGAACAGAGCCGGCGCCACUCCCGCCCCCAGCGCACGGCUGACCAGAGAACUUCGUGCCUCACGCCCGACCCGAGACCACUCUCCAGCGUCGGACACCCGACUCUCAAGCCGAGAGGCCGCCCGGCCCCGCGCUGUAGGUCCGGCAGUUGGGCCCCCAGCGCACCCGUUACAACCGUUAUCCUCAGCUCCGCCUCCUCUCCCCGUUUGCCCAAUCCCAACUGCUUCCUCUGGUCGGGGGGGUGGUCAUGAGUCCCGGUCAGCGGAGAAGGGGUCGCGCCCCGCCCUCUGCCCACGAGUUUGCGUCACUUCCGGCGUAUGCAUCCGGCGUCCGCCCGCCGCGGGAUGGCGGCUCUGAGGAGUUGGCUGUUGAAGGGCGUAGCCGCCUUCUUCAGGUACCGACGCUGUGUUCCUGUCGUGGCUAACUUGAAGAAGCGCUGUUUCUCAGAAUUGAUAAGACCAUGGCAC